CUGGCUCAGGAUGAACGCUGGCGGCGUGCCUAACACAUGCAAGUCGAGCGAUUCUCUUCGGAGAAGAGCGGCGGACGGGUGAGUAACGCGUGGGUAACCUGCCCUGUACACACGGAUAACAUACCGAAAGGUAUGCUAAUACGGGAUAACAUAAGAAAUUCGCAUGUUUUUCUUAUCAAAGCUCCGGCGGUACAGGAUGGACCCGCGUCUGAUUAGCUAGUUGGUGAGGUAACGGCUCACCAAGGCGACGAUCAGUAGCCGACCUGAGAGGGUGAUCGGCCACAUU
rnacentral:rRNA from 1 species